rnacentral:rRNA from 1 species
AUACAGAGGGUGCAAGCGUUAAUCGGAAUUACUGGGCGUAAAGCGCGCGUAGGCGGUUUAAUCAGUCGGAUGUGAAAGCCCCGGGCUCAACCUGGGAACUGCAUUCGAUACUGUUAAGCUCGAGUAUGGUAGAGGGAAGUGGAAUUCCAGGUGUAGCGGUGAAAUGCGUAGAUAUCUGGAGGAACAUCAGUGGCGAAGGCGACUUCCUGGACCAAUACUGACGCUGAGGUGCGAAAGCGUGGGGAGCAAACAGGAUUAGAAACCCUAGUAGUCC